rnacentral:rRNA from 1 species
GAUGAACGCUGGCGGCGUGCCUAAUACAUGCAAGUCGAGCGAACAGACGAGUAGCUUGCUCCUCUGACGUUAGUGGCGCACGGGUGAGUACCACGUGGAUAACCUCCCUAUAUGACUGGGAUAACUUCUAGACACCGGAGCUAGUACCGGAUGAUAUAUUGCACCGCAUGGUUCGAUAGUGUAAGAUGGUUUUGCUGUUGCUUCUAUAUCGUUCCGCGCCGCAUUAGAUAGUUGGUAAGGUAACGGUUAACCAAGACAACGAUGCGUAGCCGACCUGAGAGAGUGACCGGCCACACUGGAACUGAGUGACGGUCCAGACUGCUACGGGAGGCAGCAGUAGGGAAUCAUCGGCAAUGGGCGAAAGCCUGACGCAGCAACGCCGCAUGGGUUAUGAAGGCCUUCGGAUCUGAAAACACUGGGAUUAGGGAUGAACAAAUGUGUAAGUAACUAUGGACGUCUUGACGGUACCUAAGCAGAAAGCCACGGCUAACUACGUG